UUYUCUUUGAAUAUAUUAUACAGAGUAAGGCCUGCCCAGUGAAUUUUUUUAACGGCCGCAGAAUUUUAACUGUGCUAAGGUAGCAUAAUCAUUUGUUAUUUAAUUAAUAACUAGUAUGAAUGGUCUAACGAUUUUAAGCUGUCUCAUUAAUAUAAAAUAUAAUUUAAUUUUAAUGUAAAAAAGCAUUAAUUUAAUAAAAAGACGAAAAGACCCUAUAGAGUUUUAUUUCUUAAUCUUAUAAUUAAUUUUUAUGAAAUUUAGUUGGGGUGACUAAAAAUUAUAUUAACAUUUAAAAAUAUAUAAAUAUACGUUAUCAUUUUUUAAAUAAAUCAAAUUAAAUUACCUUAGGGAUAACAGCAUAAGUUUCUUUUAGAGCUCCUAUCGACAAGAAAAAUUAUGACCUCGAUGUUGAAUUAAAGUAGCACUAAAUAGAAAAAGAUUUAGKGGCAAGUCUGUUCGACUUUUAAUUCUUUACAU
rnacentral:rRNA from 1 species